GACGGAAGGUGCAAGCGUUGCUCGGAAUCACUGGGCGUAAAGGGUGCGUAGGCGGCUUGGUAAGUUGGGUGUGAAAGCCCCGGGCUCAGCCCGGGAAGGGCACUCGAAACUGCCGAGCUGGAGUGCCGGAGGGGAGAGUGGAAUUCCUGGUGUAGCGGUGAAAUGCGCAGAUAUCAGGAAGAACACCCGUGGCGAAGGCGGCUCUCUGGGACGGUACUGACGCUGAGACGCGAAAGCGUGGGGAGCGAACAGG
rnacentral:rRNA from 1 species